rnacentral:lncRNA from 15 species
CCAAUGCACUAGACACUUACAGCUCCAACACUGGGCAAAGCACUCCACUGCAGGUUUUCAUCAUCCCGUGUUAUCAAGAGGAGUCAUUUUUGUAUCACGUUUGCGAUGGCAAUAAUUUGAUUGAAUCCCUGCCACCAGCUCAACUAUUUUAU